rnacentral:rRNA from 1 species
GGAUUAGAUACCCUGGUAGUCCUUGCCGUAAACGAUGCAUACUUGGUGUAGUUGGACUCAACCCCGACUGUGCCGUAGCUAACGCGUUAAGUAUGCCACCUGGGGAGUACGCCCGCAAGGGUGAAACUCAAAAGAAUUGACGGGGGCCCGCACAAGCAGUGGAGCAUGUGGUUUAAUUCGAUGCAACGCGAAGAACCUUACCCAGGCUUGACAUGUAGAGGACCGCUCUAGAGAUAGAGUUUCCCGCAAGGGCCUUUACACAGGUGCUGCAUGGCUGUCGUCAGCUCGUGCCG